AACCCCUCAAAACUCCAUAACAAUGCUGGGAAGUCCUUUUAGGCGGUGUGAACAGUGCACCUGAACAGGGGCGGCGCGUGGACUCACACGCCGCCGCUGGGAAAGCUAGGAAAUGAGUGGAUCUGAAAUGGCUUCCUCCCUUCUUCUCUCCCUCGCCGGUUGUGACCUGCAAAUCAACAGAAAACACAACAACACAGUCGAUUCUCCUCUUCCUAGAUCUGUUUAGAUCGGUUUCUCUCUCCUUUAUUUUGGGUCUGCUCCAUUUCUCUAUUGAUGGCAGAUCUGGUGGCGGUUGGCUUCUGUGAAGGCCGAUCUGCGGGGAGAUGAAGAAGA